GGCUCGAGGACGAACGCUGGCGGCGUGCCUAACACAUGCAAGUCGAGCGAUGAAAUCCUUCGGGAUGGAUUAGCGGCGGACGGGUGAGUAACACGUGGGUAACCUGCCUUGUAGAGGGGGAUAGCCUUCCGAAAGGAAGAUUAAUACCGCAUAACAUCUUUUUAUCGCAUGGUAGGAAGAUCAAAGGAGCAAUCCGCUACAAGAUGGACCCGCGGCGCAUUAGCUAGUUGGUGAGGUAACGGCUCACCAAGGCGACGAUGCGUAGCCGACCUGAGAGGGUGAUCGGCCACAUUGGAACUGAGACACGGUCCAGACUCCUACGGGAGGCAGCAGUGGGGAAUAUUGCGCAAUGGGGGGAAACCCUGACGCAGCAACGCCGCGUGAAUGAAGAAGGCCUUAGGGUUGUAAAGUUCUGUUUACGGGGACGAUAAUGACGGUACCCGUGGAGGAAGCCACGGCUAACUACGUGCCAGCCGCCGC
rnacentral:rRNA from 1 species